rnacentral:rRNA from 1 species
GACGAACGCUGGCGGCGUGCUUAACACAUGCAAGUCGAACGAAGUGGCGAACGGGUGAGUAACGCGUAAUCAACCUGCCCUUCAGAGGGGGAAAACAGUUGGAAACGAAUGCUAAUACCGCAUACUGAAGGGGGGGAUGGCGUGUGAUUAGCUAGUUGGAGGGGCAGCGGCCCACCAAGGCGAUUAGCAGUAGCAGGUCUUAGGUGAUGAACGGCCACAUUGGGACUUAGACACGGCCCAGACUCCUACGGGAGGCAGCAGUGGGGAAUCUUCCGCAAUGGACGAAAGUCUGACGGAGCAACGCCGCGUGAGUGAUGACGGCCUUCGGGUUGUAAAGCUCUGUUAAGCGGGACGCGGUACCGGAAUAGAAAGCCACGGCUAACUACGUGCCAGCAGCCGCGGUAAUUC